rnacentral:rRNA from 1 species
ACUGAGAGGUUGAACGGCCACAUUGGGACUGAGACACGGCCCAGACUCCUACGGGAGGCAGCAGUGGGGAAUAUUGCACAAUGGGGGAAACCCUGAUGCAGCGACGCCGCGUGGAGGAAGAAGGUCUUCGGAUUGUAAACUCCUGUUGUUGAGGAAGAUAAUGACGGUACUCAACAAGGAAGUGACGGCUAACUACGUGCCAGCAGCCGCGGUAAAACGUAGGUCACAAGCGUUGUCCGGAAUUACUGGGUGUAAAGGGAGCGCAGGCGGGAGAACAAGUUGGAAGUGAAAUCCAUGGGCUCAACCCAUGAACUGCUUUCAAAACUGUUUUUCUUGAGUAGUGCAGAGGUAGGCGGAAUUCCCGGUGUAGCGGUGGAAUGCGUAGAUAUCGGGAGGAACACCAGUGGCGAAGGCGGCCUACUGGGCACCAACUGACGCUGAGGCUCGAAAGUGUGGGUAGCAAACAGGAUUAGAUACCCUGGUAGUCCACACCGUAAACGAUGAUUACUAGGUGUUGGAGGAUUGACCCCUUCAGUGCCGCAGUUAACACAAUAAGUAAUCCACCUGGGGAGUACGACCGCAAGGUUGAAACUCAAAGGAAUUGACGGGGGCCCGCACAAGCAGUGGAGUAUGUGGUUUAAUUCGACGCAACGCGAAGAACCUUACCAAGUCUUGACAUCCUGCGACGGUGCUGGAAACAGUACUUUCCUUCGGGACGCAGAGACAGGUGGUGCAUGGUUGUCGUCAGCUCGUGUCGUGAGAUGUUGGGUUAAGUCCCGCAACGAGCGCAACCCUUAUGGUCAGUUACUACGCAAGAGGACUCUGGCCAGACUGCCGUUGACAAAACGGAGGAAGGUGGGGAUGACGUCAAAUCAUCAUGCCCUUUAUGACUUGGGCUACACACGUACUACAAUGGCGUUAAACAAAGAGAAGCAAGACCGCGAGGUGGAGCAAAACUCAGAAACAACGUCCCAGUUCGGACUGCAGGCUGCAACUCGCCUGCACGAAGUCGGAAUUGCUAGUAAUCGUGGAUCAGCAUGCCACGGUGAAUACGUUCCCGGGCCUUGUACACACCGCCCGUCACACCAUGAGAGCCGGGGGGACCCGAAGUCGGUAGUCUAACCGCAAGGAGGACGCCGCCGAAGGUAAAACUGGUGAUUGGGGUGAAGUCGUAACAAGGUAGCCGUAGGAGAACCUGCGGCUG